ensembl:lncRNA
UCUCAGCCUUUCCUCAUAAGCGAGAUGCUCCAGGCCCCUCAUCAUCUUUGUGGCAGUUCCCGUGGCCUCACUAGGGCAGAGCAGAGGGGGAGAAUCACCUCCCUCAACAUGCUGGUCACUCUCUUUUUAGUGCACCCAAUACACUAACACAUCCUAUACAUUGCAUUGCAGUGGGCAAUACAGCUCUGUGCCGGGAAUGAAAGACAGGCUUUUGCCCAGUCAGAGGCAAUGCUCACUCCAAGCUGCUUCUCUCUCCCUAGUGUGGUUCUGGGACUAUUUUUCCUCAUAUUGCACUGUCUGGAUGCUGAGGAAAUAUAGCCCAAGGUGCAUUUUAAGAUCAGAUACCAUUCUGCUACUGCGAAUGCCCCUUGUAGCCUUUUUUCUGGCUUCAGAUACCUCUGACACAUAAGAGGAAGGCUCUUGGCUCUCCCUCCCUGCAAGCAGAGGCAAGCUUUUGAACCAAUAGUGUAUCACUCGUCUCACCUUUGGCUACCAGUGGUUCUGUGACUUAGCCCUGCUUCUGACAGCGGGGCUGUCAUCCAGAACCAUCCUUCUGGUUCAUCCAGAUCCAUGAUCUCACUCCAUUCUCACGCUUUGAUUUAGUCCCCAGGAGCACAUGGCUGAGCUUGCAGGCUUUGCUAUUUAUCUAGCUCUUCACUGUUUGCUGUGCUGACAGCUGGCGUCACUGGCGUGUUGGAAAUCUUGGCUUCUGAAGUAGUGCUCCCAAUUCUUUUCUGCACCUUGACGAUGCGAAUCAAGGAGUUCAUCUCCAUGCUGCUGGUAGCAGUGACUGUACUCAUUCCCAAAGUUUGCGUACGUGUUUGAGGUUCUCCUGUUCAAGCAGUGAUAACACCCAGUUCAUGUGUUUACCCGGGCAGAUAAAAGGGCUUCUGACAUUGGCAACUCUAUUAUUUGAGUGGCAUAAAGCAAAGAAAGUAAAGAACAGAAGAAGACACAUCACCAACUAUCAAAAUGCAGAUUGCUGAAGUGGAACGGGAUGUGGAAUUUGUUCUCUGGCUCAAAGGCAGAUGUCAUUGGAGGUUGCUGUGGAUGAUGAACAAGAAGGGUUUCUGAAGUAUUAUCGCUGUUUGAGGAGGCGAAAAAAGUGCCAGUCCUGCAGCAGACCCUACAAUCAAUGGAAUCAAAGAAGGAAAUGAUGACACUGAUUUGUUUCAAAGACUCCCCACCACAGAAGGUGUUACAAGCAUGCAAGCAUUCAGACUGUUGGAGAUGUUUCUCUGUGAUGAAAUUCAAAAUGGGAGGGAAGAGCAAACUACAAAAAACUUACUGCAAGCUAUAUGUCAUUGUGGAUGGGUUUUGUGUUAUUUUAAUGACACCUCAUUUGUUAGUUCUGUAUGUUUUACUUCUAAUAAAACUUGCCCUAUCAU